CCCAUCAAUAACUUUUCAUAUUCUCAAACACAGUUACAGAUCCGUUUCCCCUGUGGAGCCAACGUUCUCCCUGCCCAGUUCAGCUCCUCCAGCUGCCGCAGAGGCUUGGUGCUUUCCAGGCCAGUGCUGAGCUGUCAUCCUGUGAGCCCCGCCUUCGCUGCUUUCUCGGGCUGGAUCCCUGUUUCCUGGACUUCAUGUCUGUCUGUUUCAUGAUCUACUCCCUCAUUUUGCUGAAGUAUAUCAUCCAACACCUUCAGAAAGAACACAAGCGAGUGACACAUGCUGGUGACAAGUGAAACCUUCCAGUACCUGACAUAAAAGGCAAAGAGGACUCGCUUUUCCUGGUCUUCUGUCACCAACACAUACCAUUGAGGAUUCUAUGGAUCAGGAAUUUGACCUGGGCAGAGAAGGGACAGCUGUCUCUUCUCCAUGGUGUCUGAGGCCUCCUCCGGGAAGACGCAAAGGCUGGAGCAAGAAUCAUCUGGAGGCUUCUUCACUUGACUAUCCGGCAGUUGCUGUUGGAUCCUCACUUGGGCUGUUGACCAGAACGUCCACAUGUGGGCUCUCCACCUGGGCUGCUCCUCUGAGCUCCCUCAUAGCAUGGCAGCUGAAUUCCAAGGGCAGCAUUCCAAGAGAGCAGAGCAGAGAACAUGGCUUUUUACAACGUAGCCCCAAAAGUCACAUUGCAUCGUUCGGUAUACUCAAUUGGUUGACGGAGGGGCGAUGCCGUUGUGCCCUCUUUGGAAAAUACAACCUGCCAUAGCACAUUGAUUCAUCUUCUACCUGCUUUUACAAUAUCUCAGUGACAAUCCCUAAAACUCAGUAAAGAUGUAAUUUUUCAAUUUUUCUCAUUUCUUUAUAAUGACAAAACUACUUUAAAUUCUAAAAGUAAUAUAAGUAUAGGAACAAAACUUGGAAAACAUAAAAAUCUCUUACAAUUCCCCCCCUUCAACCAAUCAUGGUAAUCAUUUUUAGACUUUUUAUUCCAUAAUUUCCUCAUAAUGUUCAUAGAGUUUAUGUUUGUUUUUUAAAAUUUCCCCUUAGCACAUAAGCCCCCAAAUUCACAUCUCAACAUUAAGUUAUCUUCUGUAUUUUUCUUGUGUGGACAAAGCAAAAAUAAGAGUAGGGUACACCACGGGAUAAGGUCUUCAGGUAGGGACUUGCUUAGCCUAAUCCUACUGACAACUACUAGGAAAAAUCACAUCAAGGCUUCAAGUCUUCCAUCUUCUUUCUAAGGAGCAUAAAGCAGAGGCAUAACACACUAACUCCAGAAAAGUAAUGUCAUGAGUGAGCUGUGCCUUCUGCCACGUUUGUGUAAGGAGCAGGCGACUGACCUCGGUGUGGGAUACCAGCUGGUGACCUUUCACUGUUCUCUGCUACAAAGGCUUGGCUUUGGGGUUUCAACAAAAUACGUGGAUCUAGCAAGUAAAGUUCGGCAAAGCCUGUGUCUCCCAAACUCAGCUCCAAACUAUCGCUGGUUUUCAUUGGCCUGCUGUGAAAUGACAAAAAUAACAACAGCGGGGUGAGUUUUUCAUAACAACAGCGGGGUGAGUUUUUCAUGAGCUAAAUGGAUUCAAUUUUUUAAAAGCUGGGCUUUAUUCAGAGAUCAUUCCUCUUUUAAAAAUGUCAAUAUUGGGAAUUCCCUGGUGGUCCAGUGGCUAGGACUUGGCAUUUUCACUGCCGUGGCCCAGGUUCAAUCCCUGGUCAGGGAACUAAGAUCUCAUAAGCCGCACAGCCAAAAUAAAGGAAUAAAUAAAUAAAAUAAAAAUAAAAAUGUCAAUAUUUUAUAACAUAAUUCUGAACAUAGAUUUUCUUAGCAUUCCUAAUUAGCAAGGUAAAAAGUUGGCAAAUCUAAACUUAGUUUCAAUCAUCUGACUGAUCUGUGACAUCCCAAAUUCUGAGAAACACUGAUCCCGUCUCCUUAUGAAGAGCCUUUGGGUGUGAUGUACAUUAUUUGUCAAACGGGAUUAUACUCUGAGGUUGGGGAAAAAAACUGCUUGACAUGGGAAGAGGAUGCAAAACUCUGGGCUCUGCUUGUGACGGUCCAGUUGUGUGGCCUUGAGCACAUCAUUUAUGCUCAGAGCCUCUUCAGCCAUCAAAUCCAGUCCACAACGCUGGCCUUCUCCACAGAGCAAGCGGGGGUGAAAGGCUUAAUUGUGGAAAGUGUAGAGAGCUGUGUAAGUGCUGAGCGUCUUAUUGCUGCAUCCUCGGAGCUUUCCCUCACAAAGACUGCUCAGUGGGCCCUGUAAUAGCUGGUGAAAAACGUGAGGAGGGACAUCCCAAGUAUUUCCCUGGGAGUUCCUAAUUUUAAUGAGAAGAAUAUUCUCUAAUUAAAAUGGCGCCGCAGAAAUUUUUUUAAAACAAAUUGCCAUCUAAUUUCCCUUUGAUCUGUUUUUUCCACUUGGGUUGCAAGGUUUUACAGAAUUUUCCCCAAACGCUUGGAGUCUGCAGUAAUUUUAUUUCAUUCUGAUUAAACUUCAAAGGAGAAAACACCAAGCCACCAGAACAAGCUCAGCUUUUUUCCACUUCAUUUAUUCAAUAAGCAUUCUCGGGGCAUCUGCAACGUGCCUGACAUUGUGCUGAGUGUUGCAGAUACAAAGAUGAAUAAAUACAACUCGGCCCUUGCCCUCGCUGGGUUCAGUGUUUCCAGGACUUGAUCAAGCCACAAACAAAACAUUGUAAUGCAAUGGGAUGACAGUAGAAACACCACCACACAGCCAUCUUCUGUAGGGUCUUGUGGGAGAAAAGUGGCGGCCCUGGCUAAGCUGACACUUUAAAUGAAACUUAAAGUGACUAAAAUUUAAUCAAAAGAAGGCAUGAAGGACAUCUCAGGCAGAAGAGACAACAGGUCCAGGGGUGGGAAAUGGCAUGGCCUCUGGUGUAUGUGCACGUAUGUAUGUGAUCAUGUCCAUGUGUAUGUAUAUGUAUGCAUCCAUGUAUGUGUGCAUGCCUGUGUUUGUGUGUGUGUGAUUGUGUUUCCAGAAUAGGAAAGGGCUGGAGUAGGUAUCAGAAGACUCUACUGCGUGGCGUGGGGACAGGCAAGUUAACCUGAAGCAAGCUGGCAGCAGCCUAUAUUCGCUGUGGGUCUCAGGGAAAGAGAUUCAAAAAUUUGCUUUAGACAACCUAGAAAGAAGAAUAAAACACUCCUACAUGGAAUGUUAAACUAAAUUUGACUUUAAUGCAUGUUUUGAACACACACCUGUUGGAGGCUCUGCAGACACCAGCGCUGACCCUGGAAAGAAGGACCCGAGUUCUCCUGUAGAGGUGACGCGGAGGUGCGAUCCAGGGCUGCUCAAGCCUUGAUGUCCAUAUGAAUCACUGGAGAUCUUGUCAAGGUGCAGAUUCUGACUCAGUGGCCUGGAUUCUGCAUUUCCAUCCAGCUCCCAGGUGAUGCGAGUGCUGCUGGUCCGCGGAGCACACUUUGAGUAGCGAGAUCAAAUGCACUUGUUGCCCGAUGGCCUGCCAACCUAGACCUGCCACAGGGGAUUCACUGCCCUCAGCUCAGCGCAGAGACCUCCAGAGGACCGUAUUCAGAUCCUCCCUUCAACCAGGCACAGGGCCCCACCCAGCAGGAGUCCAGGCCCUCUGGUCUGAGAGACCACAGACCUAGAAUUGAAGGGUGGAAGUGGGGAGGAAGGAGGCAGAAAUGGUGAGAUGGGGCUGGCACUUGCUCAGAAAAUAGGCCCAAGGGCUUCCCUGGUGGCGCAGUGGUUGAAAAUCUGCCUGCCGGUGCAGGGGACACGGGUUCGAGCCCUGGUCUGGGAAGAUCCCACAUGCCGCAGAGCAACUAGGCCCGUGAGCCACAACAACUGAGCCUGCGCGUCUGGAGCCUGUGCUCCGCAACAAGAGAGGCCGCGACAGUGAGAGGCCCGUGCACCGCGAUGAAGAGUGGCCCCCGCUUGCUGCAACUGGAGAAAGCCCUCGCACAGAAACGAAGACCCAACACAGCCAAAAAUAAAUAAAUAAAAUAAAGAAUUAUUCUAAAAAAAAAAAAAAAGAAAGAAAGAAAGAAAAUAGGCCCAGAGUGCUCCUGUGACAGGAAUUAAGUGAGACACUAGGGCCACAAGAAAAGGAAGCAGGAGCUCAGACAAGGGCCCAGGCAGAGCCUCAGCGUCAGGGCAAUGAACACUGAUCCUGUGCCAGGGACUGUCUUCAUGCUUUACACAGAUGUCACGUUCAUCUUCACCCAAAGCCCUUGCAAAGCAGACCGUAAAUCCCUGCUGACAGGUGAGGCACUUGAAGUGCAGAGCAGUUCCGUGAAUCACGCGACCACCCAGCAGGCACACCGUGAAGCCACAGCUCACACCCAGCUCUGCAGGAUCUGAAAGCCCAGGUCUUCCAGGGACCGCACACUUCCUGCUUUAACGAUGGACGAGAUCCAGGCCCUGUGCCUGGGCCUAAGGGGCCCUAGGCUAGGGUCUUUCGAUAUCUGAAUCCAAAAGCAAGUGAUGUCAGCCAUGAGUGUCAGGCCAGGAGGAAGCAGGUUAAGAGAAGUCGGCAUCUGAAGAAGACCUGGUGUCUGGAACUGGACCACCCUUGGACAAAGAGGCCCAGCCCUCCUGGUCCUGAAGGAGAUCUGCCUCCAUGUAGGCCAGCCAGGGGUCCAACACGGCCCUCAUGGUCUUGGUAUGUGCAGAGGUAGACAAACUGGUUAGUGGGCAUCUUAAAGCCAUCUUGGAUAGAAAUCUUGGCGGAAAUGGAAUAUGUGCCUGAGAAGAAGGAAGACAGAGCACUAAAUGGGAAGGACUGUCAUCCGACAAAUUGUCCUGAACACAGUGAUCAGCAAUUGGGAGCUGCUGUUACUAUUAUUAUUGUUGUUAUGGGGUGCUGUUUCUGUGCAUUGCUGCAGAACCAACCAGCGAUAUACUAGGAACAUUCCAGGCAUAAUUAGAUAUGAAAUAUUCCCAGGAAACCAAAGUCUAAAGGAGUCCAGCCAGGUAACUAAACAAACCAGCUGAAGCUUCAUGCUGUAUGAGGGAGGGGCAUUCAUCCCCCCAGCGUUUUGUAGUCACUGAUAUUCAGAUAUCAGGAUGCAGUUUGCACAUGGUCGCUGCUUAUGCCCACUGCUUCCUCCUCGUUGGGCUAUCAUAGUUCAAAAAUUGUAUUUCUAAAUGCCAGGAGCCUUCCUAUAGAAAGAGCCUGAGACUGGAGCUGAAAGACCCACUCUCCUCCUCACUGACACUCUCUCUUUCUCUUUACCCUUGAAAUGGAGACGACUGCACCUGUGGUACCUGCCUCAGGACCAAAGGAGAUGCAGUGAGUAGAAGGAGGAAAUUGGCGCAUUGUGGAGUAAAAUUCUGGAUUAAUUGCUGCUGAGUCAAGGAGAAAACCUGCACAGAGGACAAGGCCAGGGGGAAACUGUCAAAUGCCAGGGCCUUAGUGGAUGGCCCUCAGUCACUUUAUUUCUCACCUGGUUCGCUGGUGCAUCUGUGUGACCCUCUCUGCAUUCUGACAUCAUAAAGAACACAAUUCACAUUGGAAACCAAAGUACUCUGGCUACAGCAGGGACAGUGCGUAGGGCCUUUCCUUUUCCUGCUCCUACGGCCUCACCUCUGUGCCCAGGAGGAGGUGGAGAGAGGGGCUGGAAUCACCUGGGGCCCGAGGGUCGCCCCCGAAAGAAGGCCCCUCGGUUCCUCGAUGUGCGGUGAGGGCUUUGAGCCAGGACUUUGAACUGCUCAGCAAUUUCUUAGUAAGACGUGAGCACCAGAGUGUCAGCUGGAGCUUUAGGCUUUCGUCUGUGGUGGGCUGUUUUCCUGCCACGGUUGUUGUGGUUUACCGUCUACCUGAGUGUUCAAAACUGCUUUGCAGAAUCCAGUGACUGAGCUUCAGAUUUGGUACCACUCCUUCCCCGCCCAGCUGUGGCCCUUGGGACACACGUUCCACUGUGCGUCUCCUCCCACGCCCUGCUGCGUUUCCAUCGGGAGGAGAAUCAUUAGUGAACAGGCACCCACAUUGUCAGAUCUUCAGUGUGUAUUUCCAGGAAUGGUAAUUUGGGGAAAACUAAGAUAGGUCCCCAGACUGCUGUACCAAAGAUGAUUUCCCCAAACGGACAGUGGAGAUCAAUCAUAACACCACGCAGCCCAAGAAAGGACUCGGGACCUCAAAAGUCUUAGAAUUUUGGGAACCACGCCUAAUUUAUGCUCAGUAAAUAACCAUGAAUAUGUAAAAAAUUUUUCAAAAAUAAAGUCACAAGGAUAUUUAUUAGGAGUUUACCUAUAAUAACAAAAAAUGGGAAAAAAUCUAAAUAGCCGAUAGGUUAUUGAUUGAAUAAAUUAUGUUAUACUCGUAUUUUUGUCACAAUCAAUAACUAGCAAUUGUUGCAUGCUUACCAUGUCCUGGAUAUUAUGUAUUAGCUUUAUGUGUGUUAUUGCAUUUAGUCCUUAAAAUAACCCCAGGAACUUACACUUAGAGAGGUAAAAUUCCUUAUCCAUGAACACAGUGCUAAUAUAGUGAGAUAAACAGUGUCUCCCCAAAAUUCAUGUCCACCUGGAACCUCAGAAUGUGCCCUUGCUUAGAAAUAGCAUCUUUGCAAAGGUAAUUAAGGAUCUAAAGACAAAGUCACCCUGGAUUCACCUAUGACUGGUAUCCUUACAUGAGAAGAGAGAGAGCGAUUUGAGACCCACAGAGA